rnacentral:snRNA from 1 species
AGCCACGCAGUGAACACAGAGCGAACUAUUCUUUCGCCUUUUACUAAAGAAUACCGUGUGUUAGCUGCAAUGAGUGGCAUACGCUAAUUUUUUGAGAGGUCUGAUUCUUUUGGAUUAGC